GAGCCUGUAGCUCAGCCAGGUUAGAGCGCCGGUCUUAUAAGCCGGAGGUCCGGAGUUCGAAUCUCCGCAGGCUCA
rnacentral:tRNA from 1 species